CGAAUAGGGCGGUACAAAGGGUACGCGAACCCGCGAGGGGGAGCCAAUCCUAAAAAGCUAGGCCUCAGUUCAGAUUGCAGUCUGAACUCGACUGCAUGAAGUCGGAGUUGCUAGUAAACGCAGGUCAGCUAUACUGCGUUGAAUACGUUCCCGGGGCCUU
rnacentral:rRNA from 1 species